rnacentral:lncRNA from 10 species
GCUCUAGGCGAAGACCGCGGCCCCGUCCCCGCGCCUCCACCGCCUUCUUCCAGGAGGAGGGGCCGUGCGGCGCCUGCCCGGGGGCCCUCAGGCCGCAGGCGGGCGCGAGCUUCAGGGAACUUAGGGGGCUCCCGCCUCCCCGGCCACGCGAGCGGGAACAGUCUCCUCCACUCGGAGCGUUUCUUCUCCCAGUGACCUCUAUUAACAGAGCCUACAUGGAACCAGC